GGUGUGGAUAGCGGAGAAAUUCCAAUCGAACUCGGAGAUAGCUGGUUCUCCUCGAAAUAGCUUUAGGGCUAGCCUCGAGCUGGAGUCUAACGGAGGUAAAGCACUGAACUGACGCGGGGCCCAAAAAGGUUACCAACUCAUAUCAAACUAAGAAUGCCGUCAAGAUACCCUCGGGAGUCAGUCUGCGUGAGAUAAGUCGCGUGGACAAAAGGGAAAGAGCCCAGACCGACAGCUAAGGUCCCAAAGUACGUGUUAAGUGGAAAAGGAUGUGGGAUUUCAUAGACAACUAGGAUGUUGGCUUAGAAGCAGCCAUACAUUUAAAGAGUGCGUAAUAGCUCACUAGUCGAGAAAACCUGCGCCGAAAAUGUAACGGGGCUAAAACACGACACCGAAGCUACGGAUUCCUUACUAAGUAAGGAGUGGUAGAGGAGCAUCCUGCAAGGACGAAGCCAAAGUGAGAGCGAUGGUGGACGAAACAGGAGAGAGAAUGCCGGAAUGAGUAGCGAGAUACAUGUGAGAAACAUGUAGGCCGAAUAUCUAAGGAUUCCUGGGUAAAGCUAAUCUUCCCAGGGUUAGUCGGGGCCUAAGGCGAGGACGAGAGUCGUAGUCGAUGGAUAACAGGUUGAUAUUCCUGUACUACACAUAAUCAGAACUGUGGGGACGCAGGAGGAUAGGGAAACCGGGGAAUGGAAAGACCCGGUCAAGCGCAAAGCUGUGAGAGAUAGGCAAAUCCGUCUCUUGUAAGUGAAGCGUGAUGAGGACUGAAAAAAAGUAAGGAAGUUUCCGAAUCCACACUGCCGAGAAAAGCCGCUAUUGCGUUAUGUGUACCCGUACCGUAAACCGACACAGGUAGAUGAGGAGAAAAUCCACAGGCCGACGGGAGAAGUGUUGUUAAGGAACUCGGCAAAAUGACCCCGUAACUUCGGGAUAAGGGGAGCCUCGCAAGAGGCCGCAGAAAAGAGGCACAAGCAACUGUUUAGCAAAAACAUAGGUCUAUGCGAAACCGUAAGGUGAAGUAUAUGGGCUGACGCCUGCCCGGUGCUGGAAGGUUAAAAGGAGAGGUCAGCGCAAGCGAAGCUUUGAAUUCAAGCCCCAGUAAACGGCGGCCGUAACUAUAACGGUCCUAAGGUAGCGAAAUUCCUUGUCAGGUAAGUUCUGACCCGCACGAAAGGCGUAAUGAUUUGUGCACUGUCUCGACAACACGCCCGGUGAAAUUGAAGAACCAGUGAAGAUACUGGUUACCCGCAACAGGACGGAAAGACCCCAUGGAGCUUUACUGCAGCCUGAUACUGGGAUUCGAUGAUAUAUGUACAGGAUAGGUGGGAGGCUAAGAAGCGAGAACGCUAGUUUUCGUGGAGCCGCCGGUGGGAUACCACUCUUAUGUCAUUGGAUUUCUAACCUGCAUCCGUAAUCCGGAUGAGGGACAAUGUCAGGCGGGCAGUUUGACUGGGGCGGUCGCCUCCUAAAAGGUAACGGAGGCGCUCGAAGGUCACCUCAGAAUGAUUGGAAACCAUUCAAAGAGUGUAAAGGCAAAAGGUGGCUUGACUGCGAGAGCGACGGCUCGAGCAGGUACGAAAGUAGGACUUAGUGAUCCGGUGGUAAUAAGUGGGAAUGCCAUCGCUCAACGGAUAAAAGCUACCCUGGGGAUAACAGGCUUAUCUCCCCCAAGAGUUCACAUCGACGGGGAGGUUUGGCACCUCGAUGUCGGCUCAUCGCAUCCUGGGGCUGAAGUAGGUCCCAAGGGUUGGGCUGUUCGCCCAUUAAAGCGGUACGCGAGCUGGGUUCAGAACGUCGUGAGACAGUUCGGUCCCUAUCCGUCGCGGGCGUAGGAAAUUUGAGAGGAGCUGUCCUUAGUACGAGAGGACCGGGAUGGACGUACCUCUGGUGUACCGGUUGCAGACCAACUGCACAGCCGGGUAGCUAUGUAUGGAACGGAUAAACGCUGAAGGCAUCUAAGCGUGAAGCCGCCCUCAAGAUAAGAUUUCCCAUUCU
rnacentral:rRNA from 1 species